AUCGAACGCUGGCGGCAUGCCUUACACAUGCAAGUCGAACGGUAACAGGUCUUCGGAUGCUGACGAGUGGCGAACGGGUGAGUAAUACAUCGGAACGUGCCUAGUAGUGGGGGAUAACUACUCGAAAGAGUGGCUAAUACCGCAUGAGAUCUACGGAUGAAAGCAGGGGAUCGCAAGACCUUGUGCUACUCGAGCGGCAGAUGGCAGAUUAGGUAGUUGGUGGGAUAAAAGCUGACCAAGCCGACGAUCUGUAGCUGGUCUGAGAGGACGAUCAGCCACACUGGGACUGAGACACGGCCCAGACGCCUACGGGAGGCAGCAGUGGGGAAUUUUGGACAAUGGGCGCAAGCCUGAUCCAGCAAUGCCGCGUGCAGGAUGAAGGCCUUCGGGUUGUAAACUGCUUUUGUACGGAACGAAAAGCCCUGGGUUAAUACCCUGGGGUCAUGACGGUACCGUAAGAAUAAGCACCGGCUAACUACGUGCCAGCAGCCGCCGUAACAC
rnacentral:rRNA from 1 species